GUGCUGUGUGUUAUCAUUUUAACUUCCAGUUUCAGCCACAAUGUCAAUCCCCACAUUUAUUUUGCUUUUAGUAGUCGCAUGUGACAGUAAUGGUCAGACCAUUGAGCCAAUCAGAGAGGAGGUGUCUGCACCAGCGGGUAGCAAUAUUACACUUUCAUGCACCUACUCAUCUGCAGUCUCUCUUCAAUGGUAUCGCCAGGACCCUGGAUCACCUCCUCAGUAUAUCCUGCUUAUCCUGCAUGCUGUUGGGUCUCCAUCACUGGCACCAGGUCUGGAUCCUCGACUGUCAGUCAAACUGAAUGAUGAGAAGAACCGUGUGGAUCUGGAGAUCUCCUCUGCUAAAGAGAAAGACUCUGCUAUGUACUACUGUGCACUGACGCCCACAGUGAAAGGAAACCUACAAACGCUGUACAAAAACCUAACCUGACACAUUCUAUAUGUACAUGACAUGACCUACAGGAGAUGGUACAUCUCAAGGUUUUUCUUUUUGACAGGAAACCUGGUGGGGGUGUUUAAGAACCUAUGUAAAGAGGAGGAGUAAC